ACCAAAUUACUCGUUAUCAUGUUAAAGCUAUGUAUGUAAACCAUAGACCAUAAUUUACUCAUAGACUGACUCACACUAUACCAAGCACAUUAAUAGCUACAAUUCUCAAUACAGCGCAAUGAUGUAAAUCAUCUAUGGGACAGUACAUGUGUACAGUAUAUUGAAAAUUGUUAUGAAUUUACUAUAUUAUAUUUGAAAUAUACGUAUUGUAAAACAAAUAAUUACAGAAAAAUUAAAAUGAGAUUUUACUUGAAAGAAUUUGCACUUUUUUAUAUUUUUAUUAAACAAUUUUCAAAAUGAUAGUAACAUAUUUUUAAACAUAAUUUAACCAUAAAACCAUAAAACAUUGAAACUCCAUUAAUUAAAUACGUU